rnacentral:rRNA from 1 species
AGAGGGUGCGAGCGUUAAUCGGAAUUACUGGGCGUAAAGCGCACGUAGGCGGCUUGGUAUGUCGGGUGUGAAAUCCCCGGGCUCAACCUGGGAACUGCAUCCGAAACUGCCUUGCUAGAGUAUGGGAGAGGGAAGUGGAAUUUCCGGUGUAGCGGUGAAAUGCGUAGAUAUCGGAAGGAACAUCAGUGGCGAAGGCGACUUCCUGGACCAAUACUGACGCUCAGGUGCGAAAGCGUGGGGAGCAAACAGGAUUAGAUACCCUGGUAGUCCACGCCCUAAACGAUGAGAACUGGAUGUCGGGAGGGUCUGCCUUCCGGUGUCGUAGCUAACGCGUUAAGUUCUCCGCCUGGGAAGUACGGCCGCAAGGUUG